rnacentral:rRNA from 1 species
AUGAGCGAAAAGAAUAACUUAGUUCUAUUUGCCACCAAAAGUGAGAUAAGAGAAGUAAAGGCUUGGGCUAACAAAAACCUAGCUAAUGGAGAAGUCAUUGGCGAAGUCACCAGGCCCUCUACUUUUCAUUAUAAAACCGACAAACCAGAAAAAGAUGGAUUAUUUUGCGAAAGAAUCUUUGAACCCAUAAAAAGUGGGAUUUGCGCUUGUGGCAAUUGUCGAGCGAACGGAGGUGAAAAUGAAGACGAAAGAAUUGGGCAAAAAUGCAGGGUAGAAUUUGUGGAUUCUCAUAUACGAAGAUAUCAAAUGGGAUAA